rnacentral:rRNA from 1 species
UUGAAUUAAUGUAGAGU